rnacentral:rRNA from 1 species
GACGAACGCUGGCGGCGUGCUUAACACAUGCAAGUCGUACGGUAAGGCCCUUUCGGGGGUACACGAGUGGCGAACGGGUGAGUAACACGUGAGUAACCUGCCCACAACUUUGGGAUAACGCUAGGAAACUGGUGCUAAUACUGGAUAUGUGCUCCUGCUGCAUGGGGGGGGUUGGGAAGCUCCGGCGGUUGUGGAUGGACUCGCGGCCUAUCAGCUUGUUGGUGGGGUAGUGGCCUACCAAGGCGGCGACGGGUAGCCGGCCUGAGAGGGUGACCGGCCACAUUGGGACUGAGAUACGGCCCAGACUCCUACGGGAGGCAGCAGUGGGGAAUAUUGCACAAUGGGCGCAAGCCUGAUGCAGCAACGCCGCGUGCGGGAUGACGGCCUUCGGGUUGUAAACCGCUUUCAGCAGGGACGAAGCUUUUUGUGACGGUACCUGCAGAAGAAGCACCGGCUAACUACGUG